CCUACGGGUGGCAGCAGUGAGGAAUAUUGGUCAAUGGACGAGAGUCUGAACCAGCCAAGUAGCGUGAAGGAUGACUGCCCUAUGGGUUGUAAACUUCUUUUAUAUGGGAAUAAAAUGUUCCACGUGUGGGAUUUUGUAUGUACCAUACGACUAAGGAUCGGCUAACUCCGUGCCAGCAGCCGCGGCAAUACGGAGGUUCCGUGCGUUAUCCGGAUUUAUUGGGCUUAAAGGGAGCGUAGGUGGAUUGUUAAGUCAGUUGUGAAAUUUUGCGGCUCAACCGUAAAAUUGCAGUUGAAACUGGCAGUCUUGAGUACAGUAGAGGUGAGCGGAAUUCGUGGUGUAGCGGUGAAAUGCUUAGAUAUCACGAAGAACUCCGAUUGCGAAGGCAGCUCACUGGACUGCAACUGACACUGAGGCUCGAAAGUGUGGGUAUCAAACAGGAUUAGAUACCCCUGUAGUC
rnacentral:rRNA from 1 species